GCCCACACUUAAAACCCAAGGGACUUGACGGUGCCCCACCCACCUAGAGGAGCCUGUUCUAUAAUCGACACCCCACGAUACACCUCACCACCCCUAGCACUCUCAGUCUGUAUACCUCCGUCGCAAGCUUACCAUGUGAACGCCACAGUGAGCUAAAAGAUCCUACCACCAACACGUCAGGUCAAGGUGCAACUAACGGAACGGAAAGCAAUGGGCUACAAUUUCUACAAUAGAACACACAACAGCUGCAUGAAAUACAGCCACCAAGGCGGAUUUAGUAGUAAGAAGAAAGCAGAGAGUUCUUUUUAACUUGGCCCUGGGACGCGUACACACCGCCCGUCACCCUCUUCACACUUACAAGAGGAGGCAAGUCGUAACACGGUAAGCGUACUGGAAAGUGCGCUUGGACAACAAAGUGUAGCUUAACCAAAGCAUCUCGCUUACACCGAAAUAGCUGUCAAUAAACCUGACCACUCUGAGCCUAAAUCCUAGCCCCCCCCC
rnacentral:rRNA from 1 species